rnacentral:lncRNA from 10 species
GCGCACUCGGGCGGGAGCCUCGGCACGGACUGCGGGGCGCGUGGCGGCUGCGGGGCACGCGGGCCCGAGCGGGACUGGCCGGCUCAGGGAGUGUGGGUGUGGCAGCAACCCAGCAUCUACCAUGCCGACCAUGUGCCAUGCCAUGCACCGCGUGUCGUAACAGGACAACAGAGCAAGAGACCCAGCAGACAGGGGUCCCCAGCAACCUCAUGAAGCGCCAUCCACUCACCUCCAGACAGUCUGGGGAGAGAGACUGAAACUUCUGUCUAAGCCACUUCAUCUUUGAUCUCCUUGUUUUUGUGGUUCAGGUUGUAUCUUAAUAAAUAAAACGUGUUUGAGUUCAUGUUUACAUCCAACCAUUAAAAAAGUAUAUUUUGCCAUGAGAUAAACAAUGAGACCCUGCACGAGAUGAAAUAUUUCCAUGGUCACUCGUCAUCUCCUUACAGAGAAUUACUAAGAUUUUAUUAAAACAGUGUAGAUUAUGAGAGUAUGGUGACUCUAAAGUGAAGUUUACAUUCAGAUGACCCCCAGGCCCGCGUAUGGAGCUCCGGUUCUGUAGCUGAAGAUGGGACAGAGGUGCAGGGAGAGCUGCAGUCGCGUUCUCGGAGGCAUGGCCCCGUGUUGAUCGGACACGUCAUGUUCAGUCAGUGCCAUGCAGGUGUGCAGCGGACGGUCUGGCUGAGGCCGGGGGUGCCACGGUCCCCCCGUCUGCUGAGUAGUAGCAAAGCUGAAUAUUUUCCUGGAAACAUUUUGUGCGCCCCUGGGGUGUGCUGCUGGGGACAAUGGGAAGUCUUUGGAACUCAGGAGCAGCGCACGCUUGGUAUUUGUGCUGGAAGAUGACCAGCCACAGACUGGAGAUCAGGAUGGCCCGAGACCAGGGCCACUGCUGACCCUGGGCAGGGAGGACACAGUGUGGCAGAGGCCUGCAUUGGUGGGAUGGGAGGAGGCCUUGCUGGAGAGCUCAGAGGUGGAAUAUGGUGGUCUCAUGUGGCUUCUCUUACCACAGACCCCAAGACAAAGGUGCCCACUGGUGGGAGGCUAUGACCAUUGUGCUGAGUCGCACGACCUGGAGCAUCUCUGAGAGAGCAGAACUCACCGUCCCCACUGCAUAGCUCUUCAGGCCCAGGGCUUUCGAGGAAGAAACAGGUGAUCAUCUUCCACCUGGCAGCUCCCAGGAGACGGGUGGGGUCAGUGGACCCUGUUCGCAGAACUAAAGGCGGGAAGACCGUGGCUUCCAUUCACCUCCUCAGAAGUGAGCCAAGGGCCCUGGGCUGGCGACAAGGACUCUAAGGAGCUUGCGGGACCGUGCGGUGUUCGUGACGACAAGGACUCUAAGAAGCUUGCAGGACCGUGCGGUGUUCGUGACGACAAGGACUCUAAGAAGCUUGCAGGACUGUGCGGUGUUCGUGACGACAAGGACUCUAAGAAGCUUGCAGGACUGUGCGGUGUUCGUGACUUCCCCUUGCCUGUUGUUUUUAAAAUCUUUUGUUAGUUUCUCUGUAGUUAUUGGCAGAAAAAUCUUUAUUCGUGCCCCUGUUCAAGAUUAGCAAGAAAGAGGAAAUGUGGAAAAGCCACAUCCUGUUUUGCAGCCAGGCUUGUGUGUGGUGGAGGGACAGGGGACAGGACCCUACGGGAUGGGAUGAAGAGGGAUAAAGACGGCCUGGGAUGGAGACGGUGGGAAGGCGCCUGUGAUUCCUUAGAGCAGCACAGGCGGUGCAGAGGCUCCAGCUGGGGUCUGGAGGAUGAGGCUGCCAUCAAGCUCCACCAUGGGCCCUGGGGAGGGGUAGGCAGGGCAGGGGGACAGCCAGAGGAUGGGGAAGAGGAAUGGGUGUACCAUAGACCUACGGUGACAUGGAACAGGCACUAGUAGGAAGGCAGCCGGGUGUUUGGGGGCCCGGGCCACAGCAGAUUUCAACAAUAACAUGGACAAAACAUGGAAAGAGCAAAGAAGACAGUGCAGGUGGCCCACAAGCACAUGGAAAGGCACUUAGCUUCACCAGUCAGCAGGGAAAUGCGAAUCAAAACCACAGUGGGUCGUCACUUCACACCCUUUAGGAUGGGUAUUGUAAAAACAAAAACCAGAAAAGAACACGCACUGAUGAGGGCGUAGAGAGAUUGGAACCCUUGUGUGCUGUUGGUGAGAAUGUGAAAUGAUGCAGCUGCUCCAGAAAACAGCACGGCGGUGUAUUAGUCAGGGUUCUCCAGAGGGACAGAACUAAUGGAAUAGAUACAUAUAUAUGAAGGGGAGUUUAUUAAGUAUUAACUCACACAAUCACAGGGUCCCACAAUAGGCCGUCUGCAGGCUGAGGAGCAAGGAGAGCCAGUCCCAGUUCCAAAACAGAAGAACUUGGAGUCUGAUGUUCAAGAGCAGGAAGCAUCCAGCACGGGAGAAAGAUGUAGUCUGGGAGGCUAAGCCAGUGUCUGUUUUCACAUUUUUCUGCCUGCUUUAUAUUCUAGCCGCCGUGGCAGCUGAUUAGAUGGAGCCCAUCCGGAUUGAGGGUGGAUCUGCCUUUCCCAGCACACUGACUCAAAUGUUCAUCUCCUUUGGCAACACCCUCAGAGACACACCCAGGAUCAAUACUUUGUAUCCCUCAAUCCAAUCCAGUUGACACUCAGUAUCAACCAUCACAGGGGGUUUCUGAAAAGAAAUAAAAGAAAGAAAAGAACUACCAUGUGAGCCAGCAAGUCUACUUCUGGGUGUUUGCACACAGAAACUGAGUGCAGGGCCUUGAAGAGAUACGGGUACCCCCGUGCCCCUCACAGCAACAUUCACAAGAGCCAAGGGUGGAGAUAACCCAAAGUCCACUGAUGGGUGAAUGGGCGAGUGAGCAAGAUGGGGCCUUUCCGUACCAUAGAAUAUCACUCAGCUGUAAACAGGAAGGAGAUGGAGGAAACUGGAGGAUGUUAUGGUGAGUGAAAUCAGC